rnacentral:lncRNA from 1 species
UUUUUUAAUAUUUUCUUAGUUGUCAAUGGACUUUAUUUGUGGUGCUGAGAAUCGAACCCAUUGCCUCACACAUGCUAGGCAAGUGCUCUACCACCAGUCACAACCCCAGCCCUUUUCUUUUUAUUGGUAGUGCUGGGAUGGAACCUAGAGCCUCAUGCAGGCCAGGCAAGUACUCUAUCACUGAGCCACACCCCCAACCCUAGUGCUUGGGUUUCUAGUACUCAUGCAUUUGGGUGCUGUCUGCCUGAGUUUAGGUCCCUAGUCAAACUGGAACGACCUGUACACUUGCCAUAUACGUGAACUGAUGCCCAGGAGAGAGCAGGAGCUUUUUCUGGGUCACACAGCAGAACUGAGGCAAAUCACAGUGGCUUCCAGGCUCUAUAUUGCCAUCUGUGAAACUUCCUGUCCCAAGGCUCUCCCCACCCCAUCAGCCAGGUGACAUAGCUCUUCUGUAGGCCUAAGCACCUCCAAUUGCCCUGCCUAAUCUGAGGCCUUAAAUGACAGACGCCCUUGUUCUGGUACCUACUACCCCUUGGUCAUCUCCUAGCCCUGGCUCCUCUGUUUUCUUGAGACUCCCCCACUUUAUGUGAGCCUGUUUGUGACAGGGGCUGAACUCCUUUGCCCAGAACAUAGCCUGGUACAGUAGUUUGCUGAAUGGACACAGUAACAGAGCUGGUUUCUGAAGGAAUCUUGACACAAGGUAUGGACCCACUUGGUGAGAGUGUGUGAAUAUUUCCAUCUUCAGACAUACCACCUCUGGUUUUAGGCUUUCUCUGAAGUAAUAUCUUCAGCUCAUCUGUACAUUAUCUUAUUUGAUCCUUUUGGACUUUAGGAAGUUUGCAUUACCUUCUCACUCCUAACUUCCAAGAUGAGGAAAAUGAGGCCUAGAAAGGUGAAGGGCUGAGCCUCAGCCCCUCAGGGCAAAUCUGAGAUAGCUCAGGGCUUGCACACAGGUCUCUUCCCCACAUUUCUUCCUGCCCCUCCCAGCAGCCAGCUGUGGCAAGUGUUUGGUACAGUGUGGAAGGGGUGUGGACCCUACUCAUGGGUUCAUUUCUGCAAUGCUUCAGAAUAAAACACUUCAGGAAGAUAUUCCCAGAUCAGAGUUCUCAGAAACAGACAUGGCAGAAGGACUAUGUGUGUUUUUUUUGGCCACUGGGACCAAGGGAAAAUAGUCCAGGAACAAGACGCUCUUUGGCAUUCGUAUGGUUCUUGGCAGAUCAGGCAGGAACAAAGCAAACACAGGAAGAACCUAGGUGGAAACUCAAUUGGUUGUGUCAAGUGGUGGGGUUUCAGGACAAACUUUAACUCUCUUCUGAAAGGAAAGUGACCACAACACUCGGAGCAACCAAAAGAUCUUUAUUGCAGCAGUGCAACAAAGAGAAAGGAAAGAAGGAAAGAGAGAGAGAGAAAAGAGAAGAGAUGAACAGGGAGAGAGCAAGAGCAAGAGAGAGACAGUGCGUGCAAGAAAGAUAAAGAGCAAGAGAGAGAGAGAGCAAGAGAGAGAGGGAGCAAGAG